rnacentral:sRNA from 1 species
UGAUCGAAUUUAUUGGGCCUAUUUGCUA